GGGCUUGUGGUCUAGUGGCAUGAUUUUCGCUUCGCAAGUUGCUCAGCUCAGCUAAGCACACGAUGUGAGUGAAAGGUCCGGGGUUCGAUCCCCCGUAAGUCCA